UCUGCUGUUGUAUAUUAUUCUUUGCAAAAGGGCAGUACCUAUUAUGAAAAAGAGGAGCAGUGAUUUAUCUCUGAUUAGCCUGGGCAAGAGAGAGACCUGCUCAAGGAGUUAUUGCCCAUAAUUUAUAAAUAGCCCUUUCUGCUGUGAUAAACCACCCGGAAUAGCCUGAAAAGCACGGCACCACCACAGCACCUCUGUUUCCUGCCUCCUCCUCUAUACUUGGUGACAGCUUGGUACUUAAGAUUGAUUCCCCACUGGCUUUCUGAUAGAUGCUUCUGUAAUAGACACAAUCACAAUGCAGACAGCAAUCCAGCAAGAGAAACAUUAAUCACAUUGCAUAGAUUGGACUAGAAGAUGUUCAUCCAUUCGUGGGGAACUUUCAGCCAUCAUGCUGAGCUGAGUGACAAAUAGUGCUACAUUUCUAUGAUAAUUCAAUUCUCCUCUACUUUUGAAGAAUUUCUUUCUUCAGUAUGCUUCGCAAAACCACAUGGACAAGAAUGCAAGAGGCUGUAUUCACAUAAUGGGCUAUACCAUUAUGGGCUGUACCAUUAACCAGGCCUGAAUAAAAGCAUAGCAUGCUAGGGGAUACAUUGAAGAGGGAAUUUUGGAGACUUGUUAUAGCCUGCUUUGCCUUCUACAUCCCACAGUCUUGAUAUGACAGAAUUCCCUGCGAAUAAGAUACUACUGAAGAAUUCAGCUCUGACUGAGUUAUUGGAAAACAGAAUUGUCAAUAUAGAACCAUCUGAUGGUUUUAUACUCAGUAUAGUAAUGGUGCCCUGUGGGACUGGAAAUUUCCUCUGGACUCCUGCUCACUGUAUAGCUCACCAUUAAAGCAAAAUGGAUGGACAUAAGGGGGAGGAGAGGAGAAAGGAUGUGUGUUUCUCCAAGGCUUGUAGCAAAUGAUUGAUAAGGACUGGCUGCAGUCACUUAUAACACUCAUCAGUUGGAGAGAGCACUGAUGGGGGUCUCAGCUAUCAGGCACAAAGACAAUUCUAAAUCGAUUUCAAACUGCUUUGAUGGAAUUGAGGAAUUAUCAUCAGUAACUGGUGAAGCAACAGAAAAGAGCUGCAAUAGUUACACCUUUUCCUGUUAUUUCAGAAAUGUUAGAACAGGGAUUUAGAAUCUAAGAUCCUCCAGAUGUUGCUGAACUGUACCGCAGGGAAUGGCUAUGCACUUAGAAUAGGCAGUGGUGAAGGAUUUGGAGCAUUGUAGUUGUGGAGGGCCACAGGGUUCCAUACUUGUUUUAAAGGCAGUGAGAUUUGAGAUCAACCAGUUGGUACAUUGUUUUGCAGAGUAGAAUAUUUAUUUGUUUGAUUUUCAUCCCACCUUUAUUACUUUAUAAGUAUCUCAAGAUGACAAACAUACAUAAUAUUCUUUCCGUCUCCUGUUUUUCCCCACAAAAACAACGCUGUGAGGUGGGCUGGGCUGAGAGAGGGGAAUUGGUCCAUAGUCUGGCUUUCAUGCUAAUCUAUUUUCUAAUAUAAUUUUAUUUUAAAUCUAAUUUAUUUUCAUUUCUUAAUGACUGGCAAGGCCCCGUGUCAUCUGGAAGCAAAGUUGAGAGCAAAGCUACAACAGCUAGUUUCUUCAAAAUGCCUUUGUAUCAGAAAACCCAAUGGUUUCAGUCAACAUUCAGUCUCUAUUGCUAUGCUUGUCAGAAAACUAUGUCACUCCAUAUGUCAGACAUUUCUUGUCCUAUGCACAUUAGGUCUCUACUAACUAAUAUUAAUUUACAAAUUUCUAUGCAUUUAAAAAAUAAACUCCAUCAUACUUUAGUUGCCAUGGAAAACUAUACAAUUCCAUAAGCCAGGAAUGUGGGAGCAGCAUUCCAUAUCACUAAGAUAUAAAAUAAAAUUAAAAAAAAAGCCAAAAGGCCAGGCUAUCAUGAAAGUGGAUAAAAGCUACAGCAUGACAUUUGAGAGAUACAGUGUGGUUCAGACUCAGGCAGAGGCUUUAGAAAGGGUGGUGUUGGGUAGGGUUAACACUGCAGAAAGAAAUUCAGUCUUAUUUUAGUUUGCUCGGGUUCAGAUUGGUGGGGGGGGGGGAAGGCAUGCGAUGACUCAGAGGUUAAAGAUGCUGACCUUAUCAGCUGGAGAGUUGACAGCCUGGGUUCAAGACCCAAGCUCUGUGCAAUUGGAUGAGUUACUUGCCCCAGCUCCUACCCUUCUAGCAGUUCAAAAGCAUGCAAAUGCAAGUAGAUAAAUAAGUAUAGAUAAAUAUAACCAGGCUGGUCACAUGACCACAGAAAUUGUCUUCAGACAAUGCUGGCUUCCUUGGAGAUGAGCCCCAUGCCUUUGCCCCAUGCAAAGCUGGCUGAGGAAUUCUGGGAGUUGAAGUCCACAAGUCUUAAAGUUGCCAAGGUUGAGAACCCCUGCCUUAGAGUUGGAAACAACUGAAUAGGGGAAACCUUUUACCUUUACCUUUGCUUAGGAUUCGCUUCUGGAGCUAUCCGGGUCCUACUGUCCAGCAGUUGGUGACAUAUUGUAUAACUUGUUUCUGCUUUUUUAAAAGUAAAGAGCAGCCAUAAAGAAUCUAAAUCUGGCCUAAAAUUGUUCGGAGGAGCAUAAAGGAUUUUAAGCUUCUGCCUAUCCUGCAGUCCCAAUCCUAUCUGGGAGUCUCACAGAUUCUACUUACUUUUAAAGCAUAGGGACGUUUUAGCUAAUUGAGUAAACAACAUCAUGCCUUCCUUGGCUCUAAACUUGUAGACAUGACUUAUGAAGGAAAAUGCCACUAACCACACACAGAACCUCAAUCCUGUUACUAUUCUUGUUAGUACCAUCCUCUGAGACUGCAAAUUAGAUUUUGGGAGUGCUGGCCAUAUACUAACCACUCUCCAGGAGAUAGGCUGCAAAACAAAUGAAAUAAACAUCACACUGACACACCCACUUUUUUACAAUGGGGGAAGAGAAUCCAAUGGAAAAUUGGAAAAUGUACAGUACUAAGACUUUAGGAUGUGCCAAAUGCAAUGUAAAUACACAUCUUUCUGUUUCACAGAACUUUGAUUUGUAGUUUUCCUUCAAGAUAUUUUUGUUGUUAUUGACAAAGGGGUCUUUGGGAGAUGGGGCAGUUAAAAAUAAAAAGACAGGAUGGCAGUCACUUCUGAGUGAUCAAAGCCUCACCUAUUUAUUAUAUGUAUCACUUGCAAUUAAUGUGAAAAAAGGGGCAGGGCUUCAGUUUUUUUGACCCUCAGUCCCACCCUCUUGAUAAAGGUUAUUUAGAUUUAUUUACUUCUGAGGCUUAUAGGCCAUUACAAUUCAAAUAGGUCUAGGUCUCCUCCCUCAAAUGUUGCCACCUGAUAGGACCCUGAAGAUGUGCUUUCUUUGUGGCCACUCCAGCUCAUUCAAACUGACUCCCACCUAAGAUGCAAGGGAUCUAUACUGAUUUAGUCUUCUAGAGGGCCAUGAAAACCUGGCUCUUCCCCUAAGAAUUGGGUUAGGAUGGAGGUUUAGUUGGGAGGAUGUUUGGACUGGUGCCUGGGAGAAAACGUUUUUUGGUUUUAGCCAUGUUUUUCUAGGUUCUUAUGAACUGCCUAAAGUCAUUAUAUGAGAUAGAUAGGCAUAUAAGUCCUUUAAAAACUAAAUUAACUCUGAGUGGGAUUUAUCCUAAACAUAGGUAAAUCUGGCUAAAACAUAAAAGACAGGAAAAAAAACAGCAUGCAACUACAAUGGAAACAAACCCAAGAAAAAACAGAGGGCAGAAUUUCACAGCAUCCCAGCCCCCAAGGCCUGCUAGCACAACCCCACUUGAACAACCUUCCUAAAAAUUAGCAAAGGAUUGCUGAUUCACAGGAAGGGAGCUGUAGUUGAGAAGAUUUGUUUUUGUGGUCCCUAAAGAUAGCAUUCUCCAUCCCUCUUCAACCAGCCGCCUGCUAACUUGCUGAGGUCCCACAUAGCUGGAUGCAUCCCAGCACCCAUGCGGUCGCUGGCCUCUGUGUGCAGUGGCUGAUGGUGUCAGGCAACAGCCGCCCCGGCCCCUGCUUCACCUUGCCCUGUAACAAUGGCACCCCGCCCUACCUCACCUUGCCUUGCUUCGUCUCACCUCACAGGAUGAGCCUCCUGCCCACCACCCCACCUACCAGA